rnacentral:lncRNA from 1 species
CGUCCACCUUACAGCGACUAAUUCUGGGGUCUACGAUCCAACUCCUCUUCACACAGACCAAGUAAACCGCGGGUUGUGCCCCAAACUAGCCAGGGUCCAAGAGCCCUCCAACUGAACUGCCAAAGUGUUGAGUGAGUCAAAUUCAUGUAUGUGCCUUGCCUUUCAUGGAACUCAUGCCUUCCAGGAAAUAUCCUGAUUUCCAGGAGAAAGCCUUGCCUUCCAAGAGCCCCAUGAAUCGAACCCGCGACCUCUGAAUUGCCUGCCUUGAAGAACUCCGUCCUUUGCCAGUUGGGAAUUGCUAUGAUGUGACCUUGUAUAUAGGUCUUG